AGCCUACGGGGGGCUGCAGUGGGGAAUAUUGGACAAUGGGGGAAACCCUGAUCCAGCGACGCCGCGUGUGUGAAGAAGGCCUGCGGGUUGUAAAGCACUUUUAGUGGGGACGAAAAGUUUCGGACUAACAAUCCGGGAUCUUGACUUAACCCAAAGAAAAAGCACCGGCUAACUCUGUGCCAGCAGCCGCGGUAAUACAGAGGGUGCGAGCGUUAAUCGGAAUUACUGGGCGUAAAGCGCGCGUAGGCGGUCUUGUAAGUCGGGUGUGAAAGCCCCGGGCUCAACCUGGGAACUGCAUUCGAGACGGCAGGACUGGAGUAUUGGAGAGGGCAGCGGAAUUUCCGGUGUAGCGGUGAAAUGCGUAGAUAUCGGAAGGAACAUCAGUGGCGAAAGCGGCUGCCUGGCCAAAUACUGACGCUCAUGUGCGAAAGCGUGGGGAGCAAACAGGAUUAGAUACCCGGGUAGUCA
rnacentral:rRNA from 1 species